UGGUCAAGUUAUUAAGGGUGCAGGGCGGAUGCCUUGGCACUAGGAGCCGAUGAAGGACGUGAUAAGCUGCGAUAAUCAUCGGGGAGUCGCACGUAAACUUUGAUCCGAAUAUUUCCGCAUGAGGAAACUUACUUAGAGGAAUGUCUAAGUAGCAUGAAGUGAAUACAUAGCUUAAUGAGGGGAACUCAGGGAACUGAAACAUCUAAGUACCUGAAGGAAGAGAAAGAAAUUCGAUUCCGUAAGUAGCGGCGAGCGAACGCGGAUUAGCCCAAACCAAUAAAGUUUUCUUUAUUGGGGUUGCGGACAUAUCAUAACG
rnacentral:rRNA from 1 species